GAUUUCUGGCUUGAAACAUUUUGCCGGCCACGGUUUCGUGUGUUAGUGCUUGAUGUUCUGGCCAUCCUUCCAAUUGCUAUUGGUUGCUCUUAAUUGAGUAGUCAGUAGUAUUGGAUCUUUUACUUUGAAAAAAUUAGAGUGUUUCGAGCAGGCUUUAUGCUAUGAAUACAUUAGCAUGGAAUAAUAAUUCAGGACUUCGGUUCUAUUUUGUUGGUUUCUAGGACUGAAGUAAUGAUUGAUAGGGAUAGUUGGGGGUGCUAGUAUUCAUCGGCCAGAGGUGAAAUUCUCGGAUUCGCUGAAGACUAACUUAUGCGAAAGCAUU
rnacentral:rRNA from 1 species